rnacentral:rRNA from 1 species
CGUAUGUCGCAAGCGUUAUCCGGAUUUAUUGGGCGUAAAGCGCGUCUAGGCGGAAAAUAAGUCUGAUGUGAAAUGCGGGGCUCAACUCCGUAUUGCGUUGGAAACUGUUUUUCUAGAGUACUGGAGAGGUGGGCGGAACUACAAGUGUAGAGGUGAAAUUCGUAGAUAUUUGUAGGAAUGCCGAUGGAGAAGUCAGCUCACUGGACAGAUACUGACGCUGAAGCGCGAAAGCGUGGGGGAGCAAACAGGAUU